AGAGUGGUCGCUGAGUUAGAGCUUAACAGCGUAAUCCCACUGCCUGACACGAACGAAAAGG
ncrna:unclassified sequences cow-rumen-1 RNA